rfam:Beta vulgaris subsp. vulgaris chromosome 5, whole genome shotgun sequence.
CUGCACGUUGCACCCCGGGCUUCUCUGAAUAUAAGAAAUAUGACGAAAAAAGUCCCAAUGCUCGUGCUAGAUUAUUGUGCCGUUCGUGUUGCAGUUUAGCCUUUCUUUUCUGGCUGAUUUGUGUCUUAAUCAACGGUCAAAUGU